GUUGCUACCGAUUGGCUGUGGGAUAGAGCUGGGGGGAGGGCGUCUCUUAGGGGUGACCUUUUGAGAUGCUGCGAAUCCCAGCAAUAUUUCUCAGCUAGAGGAAGCAAAAGUCGUAACAGGGUUGCUGUAGGUGAACCUGCAGAAGGAUCACGUUCGUAAUACCGUCGUGUAGGGUAAGAGUUUAUAUCUCGUUGGUCUCCGUAUCAUUUAUACAUACAUCUUUCUCCUUCUUCUUUCUCUCUCUUUUUUUCUCUCCUCAUUUCUCCUCUCAUUUCUU
rnacentral:misc_RNA from 1 species